rnacentral:tRNA from 1 species
GCCCGGGAGGCUCAGUCGGUUAAGCAUCUGACUUCAGCCCAGGUCAUGGUCCCGCGCUUCGUGGGUUCGAGCCCCACGUCGGGCU